GUUAAUGAACUAAGUCGUGCACAUUUGGUCGAUUGCAAGCAAAAAAAUCAACAUAACAUAAUCUUACCUGGUUGCGUCGUGGUCUUACAGAUUUGGACGUUUGAGCGACUUGGAUUAGGCGGGCCCAAUAGGAAAAUUGUUUUCCCAAGAAUUUUGCGAUGACCAAGUUUGAAGUUAAGAACAACAAGCAUUGAGAGACUUUUAAUUAAACCGAAGAUUAUUAUUUGGGAUUGGACAUUAACGGUUGAAUGUAGAUCAAAUCCAAUUGUUCGGGUUGCACUAAAUAUUGACGGUGAAACAAUCAAUGAAGAUGAUGAUGAUAGUGGUGAAUCUAAUUUUGAGGAUAUUUGCAUGAAGAAAGUGAAAAUGAAUGAGAUGGAAAUAAUUGCCAUGAAGAAGUAGUUGAAGAUACUGCAGGAUGAAGUAUUGUUACGUGGUAAAUAGUCAUCCCAAGAAGAGCCUAAUGUUGGAGAUGAUAAGGCUGAUAUUUUUAAAGGAAGCGGAGAAAAGUCUUCUUAUUUUGAUGAUGCGACAAAAGGUAGUAGAGAUAAAGUUCAUGAUGAUGUUCAUAUGAGUAAGGUUUCUGAAGCCUGUGGAGAGAAAGAUGUUAAGAAGGCACAAGUUAAACAAGAAUAUACUCCAUUUAAAGUAGUAACUGUUAACUUUGCUGGAUAUUAUUACAAGACUACUGAGUUUGUUCUAAUAGCAGCAACAAGUGAACCCAUUCAAGCGCAUUAUAAUUCAUUGGGUGUGGAUGCAAUGAAGUUGUACAUGAUGUUGUAUGCCAUUUCUUUUACUGUUAU